AACGCGAAAAACCUUACCUACCCUUGACAUGGCAGGAAUCCUGAAGAGAUUUGGGAGUGCUCGAAAGAGAACCUGCACACAGGUGCUGCAUGGCCGUCGUCAGCUCGUGUCGUGAGAUGUUGGGUUAAGUCCCGCAACGAGCGCAACCCUUGUCAUUAGUUGCUACGAAAGGGCACUCUAAUGAGACUGCCGGUGACAAACCGGAGGAAGGUGGGGAUGACGUCAGGUCCUCAUGGCCCUUAUGGGUAGGGCUACACACGUCAUACAAUGGCCGGUACAGAGGGCUGCCAACCCGCGAGGGGGAGCCAAUCCCAGAAAACCGGUCGUAGUCCGGAUCGCAGUCUGCAACUCGACUGCGUGAAGUCGGAAUCGCUAGUAAUUCGCGGAUUCAGCUUUCC
rnacentral:rRNA from 1 species